GUUCUACAGCGGUGUUUCUCUUUCUCUCUCCCUAGAUCUCUCUCUAUCAACCCUCUCAGAGUUUCAUCUCUGAGAUUCAGAGAUUCAGUCGGUCUCAGUGAUUUCAUCUCAGAGCGAUUUCGAUUUCGAAGCGCCAGAGCAGUCUCUCUCUCUAGAUCUCUCUCUCUGUCAACCCUCUCAGAGAUUCGUCUUUGAGAUUCAAAGAUUCAGAUCAGUCUCAGUGAUUUCAUCUCAAAGCGAUUUCAAUUUCGAAGCCCCACAGCGGUGUUUCUCUUUCUCUCUCCCUAGAUCUCUCUCUAUCAACCCUCAGAGUUUCAUCUCUGAGAUUCAGAGAUUCAGUCGGUCUCAGUGAUUUCAUCUCAGAGCGAUUUCGAUUUCGAAGCGCCAGAGCAGUCUCUCUCUCUAGAUCUCUCUCUCUGUCAACCCUCUCAGAGAUUCGUCUUUGAGAUUCAAAGAUUCAGAUCAGUCUCAGUGAUUUCAUCUCAAAGCGAUUUCGAUUUUGAAGUUCUCUCUCUUGAUUUCGAAGCUCCAGCGAGGUAUCGAUUUCUCUCUCUCUCAAGCUCUUCCUUCCCGUCUCUCUCGAUUUGGUAUUUAUUUUCUUGGAAAACCUAUUCAAUUUCUUCUUUUGUUUGCUUUGUCAUUCUUCCUUAAUAUGUUGUGUUUUUGUUUUGAGAAAAUGCCAAAUGUGCUUGUGAUUAUGACAUUUGUUGGAUUUGAGAUCAUUUGUUGGAUUUGUUGGAUUUGAGAUCAUUUUUGGACUUAGUUGAUUAUUUAGUUUUCUCAGAUGGUGAUCACAAUGGCGGACGUUCUACUCAUUCUGCUCAUCUUGUUGAGGAAAAGUUGUCUGGCUCUUUCUCUAGGAAUGGUGCAUUCCUUGAAGAUGCUACGGUUGUAUCAUGUGGGCAUUCAUUUGGUGGUCAACUGCUGAGGAAGGUCUUAGAGACCUCAAGGUGUAACCUCUGCAGUGCAGAAAUUGACACCAGUUCUUUGAUCCCUAACUAUGCUCUGAGAGCUGCGGCUGCAGCUGUAAAGCAUGAGGAUGACAGGAGGCUUUUCCACAAUGCAGCUCUGCGGAAACGCCGCAAAGAGAUGGGUGACCAGAUGCAUAUGGUGAAGAGACAAAACAGGGUACCUUCUUCAUAUAAAUAUCUGAAGUUUGUAUUGUCUCAUCCAUUAGCAACUAGGAAAACACCUGCUCGAGCAGUCAUAAAUAAGGCCUGGUAGAAUUAGAAAUAAUGAAAAACAAAUUUGAAUAGUUGUACUCUAAUCUUUCUCCUACAAAAUGGCUGUUGAAUUUUUUU